rnacentral:rRNA from 1 species
UACGUAGGGGGCAAGCGUUGUCCGGAUUUAUUGGGCGUAAAGAGCGUGUAGGCGGCCAUACAGGUCAGCUGUGAAAACUCGAGGCUCAACCUCGAGACGCCGGUUGAAACCGUAUGGCUAGAGUCCGGAAGAGGAGAGUGGAAUUCCCGGUGUAGCGGUGAAAUGCGCAGAUAUCGGGAAGAACACCUAUGGCGAAGGCAGCUCUCUGGGACGGUACUGACGCUGAGACGCGAAAGCGUGGGGAGCGAACAGG